UAGUCUGCAACCCGACUACACGAAGCUGGAAUCGCUAGUAAUCGCGGAUCAGAAUGUCGCGGUGAAUACGUCCCCGGGUCUUGUACACACCGCCCGUCACACCAUGGGAGUCGGGAAUGCCCGAAGUCAGUGACCCCAACCUAUUGGAGGGAGCUGCCGAAGGCAGGUCUGAUAACUGGGGUGAAGUCGUAACAAGGUAUC
rnacentral:rRNA from 1 species